CCCUAGCCUUCAAGGAUUCUCAAGAUUUGGAAGGAAUUGAGAGCCCAAAUCAAUGCUAGAACCAGAAUUGUCAACCAUCUAAGCUCGAACAACAAUAGGCGUGAAGGAGGAAAGCUCUAACACUAGUAAAGCGGGAGGUGUACAAGAUCGAGGUAAAGCACCUCUAUAGGCGACUUGGAGAUAUGGAGCGAGCACGUAUUCAAGCAAUAUUUUUAUCAAGCGCUUCCGCUAGUUUAUGUGCAUGCUUUUGGGUUCACGUUUGUUAUUUUGAUUAAGUCUUGUAGAAGUUUACACUUGAAAACUUAUGUUUUGUUUGGGUAGUUUAAAGUUAGUAAGGUCGUAGGUGAACAUUGUCUUUUAUGUCAA